rnacentral:rRNA from 1 species
GACGAACGCUGGCGGCGUGCCUAACACAUGCAAGUCGAACGGGGUAAUCCUUCGGGGUUACUUAGUGGCGAACGGGUGAGUAACGCGUGAGAAACCUGCCUUUCAGUGGGGGACAACAGUUGGAAACGACUGCUAAUACCGCAUAAUGUUUCGAGAGGGCAUCCUUUUGAAACCAAAGCUUUAUGUGCUGAAAGAUGGUCUCGCGUCUGAUUAGCUAGUUGGUGAGGUAACGGCUCACCAAGGCGACGAUCAGUAGCCGGUCUGAGAGGAUGAACGGCCACAUUGGGACUGAGAUACGGCCCAGACUCCUACGGGAGGCAGCAGUGGGGAAUAUUGGGCAAUGGGGGAAACCCUGACCCAGCAACGCCGCGUGAAGGAAGAAGGCCUUCGGGUUGUAAACUUCUUUUACCAGGGACGAAGAACGUGACGGUACCUGGAGAAAAGCAACGGCUAACUACGUGCCAGCAGCCGCGGUAACAC